rnacentral:rRNA from 1 species
UACAGAGGUGCCAAGCGUUGUUCGGAUUCAUUGGGCGUAAAGGGUGCGUAGGCGGCGCGGUAAGUCGGGUGUGAAAUCUCGGGGCUUAACUCCGAAACUGCAUUCGAUACUGCCGUGCUUGAGGACUGGAGAGGAGACUGGAAUUUACGGUGUAGCAGUGAAAUGCGUAGAUAUCGUAAGGAAGACCGGUGGCGAAGGCUAGUCUCUGGACAGUUACUGACGCUGAGGCGCGAAAGCGUGGGGAGCAAACAGG